CUCUCUCCUAAGGGAAAAUGUGUUUGUGAGCAUUGUGUGAGAAGAAGGGAGGAUGAAACACAGUCAAUAGAAGCUGCAGUGUGAAGUUUCAGAAUUACAGCAGAACCAUAGAAUCAUCAAGGUUGGAAAAGGCUUCCGAGAUCAUCCAGUAACAAUGUGUGUAGAAUUAGGUGUACAAACCAGCCCAAGUGUGAGUAUUCUGAGCUUUGUCUUCAUCAGGUGAUGAACACUUUCUGAUCCAAACUUGUGGCCUUCUGAUGCAAGAGAUG
ensembl:lncRNA